rnacentral:tmRNA from 2 species
CUUUAGCAGCUUAAUAACCUGCUCUGAGCCCUCUCUCCCUAGCUUCCGCUCUUAAGACGGGGAUCAAAGAGAGGUCAAACCCAAAAGAGAUCGCGUGGAUGCCCUGCCUGGGGUUGAAGCGUUAAAUCUAAUCAGGCUAGUUUGUUAGUGGCGUGUCUGUCCGCAGCUGGCAAGCGAAUGUAAAGACUGACUAAGCAUGUAGUGCCGAGGAUGUAGGAAUUUCGGACGCGGGUUCAACUCCCGCCAGCUCCACCA